GCCUUUGUAUCUGCCCAUUAGUUGUGUGAUUAAAAUCACCUGAUUACCCUUUAAAAUGGGUUAUAGCUGAUGACCAAGCAUCAUUCACUUCCGAGGGUGAGGCCAGGACAUCAGUAAUGUUUAAGGUUUCCCAGAUCAUUCUGAUGAGCAUCCAAGGUUAAAAAUCACUGAUUUUAAGUUGUGUUUCUCAAAUGUUAUGCAUACUCACCUGGGAACAUUGUUAGGUUGAUGUUUGGUGGGUCCUAGAAGUCUGUAGUUCUAACAAGUCUGCAGGUGAUGCUGAUGUUGGCUGGUUUCUGAACCUUCUUUUGAGCUGCAAGGCUUUGACGAGAUUGAGCAAUCUGCCCAGUGGCUGGCCUGAAUUUCAAACCCUGGCUUUCCCAAGUGAAGAUCCCGAGUUCUCGUGUUCCGUGAUGUUACUGUGUCUCCUACAGAUUUAAAUCAAGCAUUAUGAAGCACAGUGCAACAGGAAGAACAUCUGCAGGCAUUCUAUCAAUUGACAAGAGUGAUGUUACAAUUUACAGCUGUGACUGUAAAACACUGUCCGUCUUGGAAAGUGCCAGUUUUGGUCAUUCUCUCACCUCUACAGCACUUAAGGUGGUGGGAAGUGACUCAUUGAUCCAUCACACUCGGCUGAAACCUUGAUGCCUCCUGGAGAAGAUCAUAGGACCUGCGCUCCACCGCCUGAGGAUCCAGGAGGCUGCCCUUCAUAUACCUGUGAGCCGUUAAAGGAUCUGCAGUUGCUCUUCGGACAAGACCCUCAGGAAAUGAACUACUCAUGAGUCUACCUUACAUUCUGGCAUUGACUGGAAUAUCACUGUUACCUUUACUAUUUGCAACUGGACUCUGUGUGGUCACCUUGAGGCUUCGCCCACAUUCCGUAGACUCAAUAUCCGUGGCUUGCUGCCCAAUUAAGUGUCUAACAGCUUUCCUCUUCUCCCUCUGAUAGUACCACUCUCUUAUUAUGACCUCUCUUGUGGUCCCCCUUAUCGUCGUUGCUGCCUGCCCCCUACUUCACACCCAUCCCAACUGAAAAUGCCCCCAAAGGGGUUAAAACUGGAACAAUAUUGCACAGGAAACAAGUUCACUCUGGUCUUGGGGAUUAGGUCCAGUGGCCUUCUUUAUACCCUAUACUUACAUGCACAAGAACUGCUGUAGCACUGCUUCCCUGUGCAUAUAUUGAACGGGAACAAUAACUGGGCCUAACUGUCCAGCUGGUAAGGGCACCACCACCUGCUGGACGUAUUUUACCCAUGUCAGGACUUCAGAUGAGGGCAAAGUUCAAGAUCAGGCACAGGAAGGGUGUCUCAAGGCAGUAAUCUGUAGCUAGGCAAACCACAAAGUACCCCCAGUACCUACAAAGGCCUGGACCUUUCUAAGCUACACAAGAUCCUGUGCACACACUCUUGUAUGCUCAACCUACUCAACACCACUCUCGCAGAAACGGGUGAGGCCUCCGACAACCCAACCGACUGUUGAAUGUGCCUUCCACUAUGCUUCAAACCAAAUAUCCUGGUUCCAGUUCCAUACUUAUAGAACAUAACUAACCCACCCUUCAAUCAUACAGGGCUUGUAAGUCCCUUGGUCACCAAUCUACAAAUUCCAUCUACCUCAAACUUACUAACAACUCCAAUGCUUCUCUACGGCUACCUUACCCCCAGGCCUCGACUGCCUCGCACCAGGCUUACUCUGUGUUUCUGGCUCCUCAGCCUACUGCUGUCUAAACAAUACAUGGAGGAAAUAUGCCUCCUCUCCUUCCUGUUGCCCCCCAUGACCAUUUACACUGAUUCUCAGUUGCAGAGUCUUCUCUUGUUCAGGCCAAGGCAUACUAGAAUCCCAGUUCUUCCAUUCAGCAUGGUAGCAGGAAUAAUAGGCAGGCUUAAUACUGGUAUUGGAGGAAUUACUGCCUCUACUCACUUUUACUCUAAGCUGUCCCAGGAAUUAAUCACAUGGAAAAGGUUGCCGAUUCUCUCGUAACUCUGCAAAAGCAAUUUAGUUGCCAUGACUCUUCAAACUCGAAGCGCCCUGGAUCUGUUAACGGCAGAGAGAGGAGGAACUUGUCUCUUUUUAAGAGAGAAGAAUGCUGUUAGUUUGUAAACCAAUCAGAUAUCAUCUUAAAGAACUAAGGGACCGAAUAGAACACAGGGUAAAGAACCUCCAAGAAAGAGGAUCAUGAAGCUUAACAAACAGCUACCCUGACUCUCCCCUCUUCCAGGCCCCUUAGUAACCAUCCUAUCAUUGCUUGCCUUUGGGCCUCUCAUCUUUCACUUUCUGGCCAAAUUUGUUUCUUCCAGAAUUGAGGCCAUGAUGAUACAAAUGGUCCUAAAUGGAACCCCAAAUGUCCGUGGCUCAUAAUUUCUAUCACGGACCACUGGAUCAACCUGCAACCCCAGAAGACUCCCCUCUGGAGGAAACCUCAACUGCAGGGCCCCCUUCUGUGCCCCAGUUCAGCAGGAGGUAGGUAGAGCAAUCGUCGUCCAACAGCAGUUGGACCUUCCCGUUGAGAGUGGGGACUGAGGAACUGUAUAGAGGAACUUCCAGGGCUGGGUAGGGCCUCUUCUUUUUUUCAGUGCAGGAACGUGUCCUGCCUCUGGCAGGCCAGGGGCUUUUUUCCAAGCACAGGAACUUUUUCCGCCUCUGGUGGGCUAGGGCUUUGUUUCCAGUUUUCCUGCCUCCGGCCCCUGGAGGUAGAGGCUCAGUGACUGAGGGUUUUAAAAUGCGGUCCAGAUAAAGUUUGAAAAAAACUCCUCUCAUUGGAUGACAACAAGAACAGGGAGGGAAUAACUCAGGGGCAUAAGCUCCAGCUGCCCAAGCCUGCAGGGGCACCCACUUCAGGUCCCCUCCCACAGCAUGGAAGCUGUCCUUUCACUCUGCCUAAUCACAGUACCACACACUCAUUGGGUCCAUGGGUUCUGCUUAAGCUAUGACACUCACCAUGGCCCCCUUCCCCAUUCAUUGGGGUUGGAGAGGCCAAGAACCUGACUUCCAGAAAAUCUGGUUGCAGCUAAUCCGGUUACACUCUGAGGUCAGGAGUUCAAGACCACCCUGACCAACAUGGUGAAACCCCAUCUCU